rnacentral:rRNA from 1 species
AAUGAACGCUGGCGGCAGGCCUAACACAUGCAAGUCGAACGGAUCCUUCGGGAUUAGUGGCGGACGGGUGAGUAACGCGUGGGAACAUACCCUUUGGUACGGAAUAGCCUCGGGAAACUGGGAGUAAUACCGUACGUGGUCGAGAGACGAAAGAUUUAUCGCCAAAGGAUUGGCCCGCGUUGGAUUAGGUAGUGGGUGGGGUAAGGGCCUACCAAGCCGACGAUCCAUAGCUGGUUUGAGAGGAUGAUCAGCCACACUGGGACUGAGACACGGCCCAGACUCCUACGGGAGGCAGCAGUGGGGAAUCUUAGACAAUGGGGGAAACCCUGAUCUAGCCAUGCCGCGUGAUCGAUGAAGGCCUUAGGGUUGUAAAGAUCUUUCAGGUGGGAAGAUAAUGACUGUACCACCAGAAGAAGCCCCGGCUAACUCCGUGCCAGCCGCCGCGGUAA